rnacentral:lncRNA from 1 species
AUGUGGUGUUCCGUCAAUAUGCAACCCGUUGCAUAUUGAGCUCCACUUAACUUGUAGUGUUGUUUGUGCACUUUGCCAUGCCAUGCAUAUUUAAGCCGGACAUGCAUCAUACUUGGUUGUGCAUCAUGCUAUGUUUAUGUGAUGGUUGUUUACUAUGUUGUUUGCGCUUUCCGGUGUUGCUUCUUCGGAUUGGUUCCGAUAACGUCGCGUUUGUGAGGAUCCGUUCGACUACGCCCGUUUGUCUUCUUCAUGGACUCGUUCUUCUUCCUUGCGGGAUCUCAGGCAAGAUGAUCAUACCCUCGAAAUCACUUCUAUCUUUGCUUGCUAGUUGCUCGCUCUUUUGCUAUGCCUAUGCUACGAUGCCUACCACUUGCUUAUCAUGCCUCCCAUAUUGUUGAACCAAGCCUCUAACCCACCUUGUCCUAGCAAACCGUUGAUUGGCCAUGUUACCGCUUUGCUCAGCCCCUCUUAUAGCGUUGUUAGUUGCAGGUGAAGAUUGAAGUUUGUUCCUUGUUGGAACAUGGAGAUAUUGUUCCUUGUUGGGACAUGUUUACUUGUUGGGAUAUCACAAUAUCUCUUAUUUAAUUAAUGCAUCUAUAUACUUGGUAAAGGGUGGAAGGCUCGGCCUUUUGCCUAGUGUUUUUUUCCACUCUUGCUGCCCUAGUUUCCGUCAUAUCGGUGUUAUGUUCCCGGAUUUUGCGUUCCUUACGCGGUUGGGUAAUAAUGGGAACCCCUUGACAGUUCGCCUUGAAUAAAACUCUUCCAGCAAUGCCCAACUUUGGUUUUACCAUUCGCCACCUAGCCUCUUUUUACCUUGGGUUUCGCGGACUCAAGGGUCAUCUUUAUUUAAACCCCGGGCCAAUGCUCCUCUGAGUGUUGGUCCAACCUGUCAGCUGCCGGUGGCCACCAGGGGCAACUCUGGGCUGGCCUACCCGUACCUUGGACAAUCCGGUGUGCCCUGAGAACGAGAUAUAUGCAGCUCCUAUCGGGAUUUGUCGGCACAUCCGGGCGAUGUUGCUGGAUUUGUUUUACCUUGUCGAAGUUGUCUUGUAGAACCGGGAUACCGAGUCUGAUCGGAAUGUCUCGGGAGAAGGUUUAUCGUUCGUUGACCGUGAGAGCUUGUGAUGGGCUAAGUUGGGACUUCCCUGUAGGGAUUUGAACUUUCGAAAGCCGUGCCCGCGGUUAUGGGCAGAUGGGAAUUUGUUAAUGUCCGGUUGUAGAAAACCUAAAGUUGAUCUUAAUUAAAAUACAUCAACCGCGUGUGUAGCCGUGAUGGUCUCUUCUCGGCGGGGUGCGGGAAGUGAACACGGCGUUGGAGUUAUGCUUGACGUAGGUUGUUCUAGGAUCACUUCUUGAUCAUAGUUUCUCGUCCGUGCUUUGCCUUCUCUUCUUGCUCUCAUUUGCGUAUGUUAGCCACCAAAUAUGCUAGUCUCUUGCUGCAGCUCCACCUCAUACUUUUACCCUUCCUAUAAGCUUAAAUAGUCUUGAUCGCGAGGAUGUGAGAUUGCUGAGUCCCCGUGACUCACAGUUACUUCUAAAACCAGUUUGCAGGUGCCGAUGUUACCGAGCAGGUGACACAACCAAGCUCAAGAAGGAGCUCGAUGAAGAUCUCGUUCUUUGUGUUGUUCUGUUUUCAGUUGAUCAGUAGUGGAGCCCAGUCGGGACGAUCGGGGAUCUCUGUAGCAUUUGGGGUAGUCUUCUUUUAUUUUGGGUUCCGUAGUCGGACCUUGAUUGUAUCUGGUUGAUGUAAUGCUUUAUUCAUGUAUUUGUGUGAAGUGGCGAUUGUAAGCCAACUAUGUAUCUUUUCCCUUAUUGUAUUACAUGGGUUGUUUG